rnacentral:rRNA from 1 species
CCUACGGGUGGCAGCAGUGGGGGAUAUUGCACAAUGGGCGAAACCCUGAUGCAGCGACGCCGCGUGGGCGAAGAAGUAUUUCGGUAUGUAAAGCCCUAUCAGCAGGGAAGAAGAAAUGCCGGUACCUGCGUAAGAAGCACCGGCUAAAGACGUGCCAGCAGCCGCGGUAAUACGUAGGGUGCAAGCGUUAUCCGGAUUUACUGCGUGAAAAGGGAGCGCAGGCGGGACGGGAAGCCUGAUGGGAGAGCCCGCGGCCCAACCGCGGUAAUGCAUUGGGAACUACUGGGCUGGAGUGCCGGAGAGGUAGGCGGAAGUCGUAGUGUAGCGGUGAAAUGCGUAGAUAUUAGGAGGAACACCAGUGGCGAAGGCAGCAUACUGGACGGCGACUGACGCUGAGGCUCGAAAGCGUGGGGAGCAAACAGGAUUAGAUACCCGGGUAGUC